GUGCUUACGCCGUUGCCCUGGCGGUGCCGCCGGGUGCUAUCCGCUGGGUGAAGCUGCCACCUGCCGGGCAGCUCCGCUCCUCUCGGCUCAGAGAGGGCUGGCAGGGCAAGGAGGAGAUCUGCGAGCGCAGGCACCAAAUCUCGCAGCUCAGCCUCGACGGUGCGCUCCCUAACACUCACCGCAGCCAGGACUCAAGUAACAGCCCAGAGGGAAGAGAGCACCUUGCCUGACAGCCUGCCCCAACUGCAACUCCUCCGGUCUUCUGGUGCCAGCUGGUACCAGGAAAAGCAUCCCCAAAGGCAGCCUCUUUUGUCUCCCCAGAUCCUGUACUGUACAUGUGUUAGGAUCUGAAGCCACCGUUUCCAAGACGAAGCAAUGCAGCAGCAGGCUUAGCCAAACACGGGUAACGAUGGCACAAAGCCUGGGUGUCUUGGAGUUCAAGUGCAUCGCACAGAAGUGUGCCAAACAGAGGCACACCAUGGCCAGGUGAAUAAAUUCACAACUUUCAGGCAGAAAGAGAAGAAGAGAAGGAGAGCUUGGCUCUCCUUCCAAAUUUUGCACAUUUAUCAUAGUCAAAUCUCCUGCCAAGGAAAAGGGG